UACUAGAGUAGCACUCGCAUAUCAAUAAGCGGAGGAAAAGAAACUAACAAGGAUUCCCCUAGUAACGGCGAGUGAAGCGGGAAGAGCUCAAAUUUGAAAUCUUAAAGGGUUUCCCUUUACGAAUUGUAGUUUAAAGAAGUGUUUUCUGUUGAGGUUUUGGUAAAAGUUCUUUGGAAUAGGACAUCAUAGAGGGUGAGAAUCCCGUAUUUGACCUUUACUUUCAACUUUGUGAUACACUUUCAAAGAGUCGGAUUGUUUGGGAAUGCAGUCCAAAAUGGGUGGUAAAUUUCAUCUAAAGCUAAAUAUUGGCGAGAGACCGAUAGCGAACAAGUACCGUGAGGGAAAGAUGAAAAGAACUUUGAAAAGAGAGUUAAACAGUACGUGAAAUUGUCAAAAGGGAAGCGCUUUGACACCAGUGUUGUUUUUUCUGAAAAUCAAUUAAAGAACUGUUUAUGCUAAGUUGUUUAGACUUUAUCAGCUAUCUGCUUAGUUUUGAGCUUUUCUUUAAUGCACUUUUCAGUUAACAAGUCAACAUCAAUUUCUUUUGCUGUAAAAAAGCUUGAGGAAGGUGGCUUGAGAUUCGUCUUAAGUGUUUAUAGCCUCUUGCCUAUGCAGUCGGGAGAGAUUGAGGUCUGCAGCGUAGAUCCUUCGGGGCUAAAUGCAUUUGUGCUAAGUUAUAGCAUUUUAUAGACAACUUGUUGACUAUGAUUUGUCUUGUAGCUUACUCGCUUAUGUUAUUUUACCUACGCUUAGGAUGUUGAACUCUAUCACACACAG
rnacentral:rRNA from 1 species